CUUCCAGCACUAGAAGCAACCUUGAGGAUAGACACAAAAGGCAGAAUAAGGAUAAAAAAAAAAACAAAGCAAACCACAGGAAAAUUACAAAACAAAAGAAUUAAUUAUUAGCUUAUUUAUCAACUUUCAUAUGAGCUCCUUGGUAAAGGCCUAAUAUAAUUUUUGGAAUUUAUUAUGCGAUAAUACACUAUAAGCCAA